GUGCACACUUGGAUUUGCAAGCUAAGACUUCAUACAUCACUAAAAACAGUAGAGUGUGUAACAUUAAUUUGAAGAAAUCUUUUUGGAAAAAAAAACAUACAACAGCUCAAAUUAGCCCAAGAGUUUCUGUUGCGUACUCGGUGAUGGAAACAUUUGCUUUUCUCUUUGCUUUUCAUCACCUCUAGGUUUUGAACAUCAGCCCUGUGGUGAGAGACAUCAUGAUGAAUGGAACCUUCCAAAUCAUCCGCCUUUAUUUCGCAGAGUUCACGAGCUACGACUGGAUUUCCUGGUUCACGCUGAAACUGAGUCCAGUCCUUUCCAGCUUGACUGCAGAGAUGCUCCAGACAGUAACAUCAUAUACCGACUGCAACGCAUACCACAUCAUCGUCGGGGCUCUGAGCAGCCACUUUGAGCAGAUGACAUCGCUGAGACAGCAGGAGCUCACCGCAGUCCUGUUGGGCUACCUAAAGCAGAGUCAGGCAUCAGGUAGGUCCAGCAUAUUCAGCGCUUGUUUGUCUUGUGGGCUAAAUAAAAUAUCAAUACUUGGUGUCUGUGCAUCUUCGUCCGUCCUAACGAGUCUCUUUUGCACGUCCCUGUCGAAGGCUCAACCUGUGGAUCCGUCACCAGCAGCCUCAGUGUUUGGCUUGAAGAGAGCUUUGGCAAAUUCUCUGUCUACGUGGACUACCAAGACCUGCGUGCACUCAACGAGGCAUUUGGAAGUUUCCAGGCACUGGACCUUCUGAGUGCCUCUCAAGUUGCUCAGCUGACCCUAACAUCUGGAGCGCUGAACAACGCAGAUCUGAUCACCAUGGUCUUUGAGCGUCUUGACGGCAGCAAUGCUUUCCAGGAUGUGGACCAGUUCUUGACGGUUCUCACCCAGACCUCGCAGGUUUUGAACAUCAGCCCUGUGGUGAGAGACAUCAUGAUGAAUGGAACCUUCCAAAUCAUCCGCCUUUAUUUCGCCGAGUUCACGAGCUACGACUGGAUUUCCUGGUUCACGCUGAAACUGAGUCCAGUCCUUUCCAGCUUGACUGCAGAGAUGCUCCAGACAGUAACAUCAUAUACCGACUGCAACGCAUACCACAUCAUCGUCGGGGCUCUGAGCAGCCACUUUGAGCAGAUGACAUCGCUGAGACAGCAGGAGCUCACCGCAGUCCUGUUGGGCUACCUAAAGCAGAGUCAGGCAUCAGGUAGGUCCAGCAUAGGCAGCGCUUGUUUGUCUUGUGGGCUAAAUAAAAUAUCAAUUCUUGGUGUCUGUGCAUCUUCGUCCGUCCUAACGAGUCUCUUUUGCACGUCCCUGUCGCAGGCUCAACCUGUGGGUCCGACACCAGCAGCCUCAGUGUUUGGCUUGAAGAGAGCUUUGGCAAAUUCUCUGUCUACGUGGACUACCAAGACCUGCGUGCACUCAACGAGGCAUUUGGAAGUGUAA
rnacentral:lncRNA from 1 species